GAGGCAAUAGUAUAAUGGCAAGUAUACAAGGCUGUCCCCUUUGAGAUCUGGGUUCGAUCCCCAGUUGCCCCG